rfam:TPA: Bos taurus chromosome 12, whole genome shotgun sequence.
UGGCUCAGAUGGUAAAGCGUCUGCCUACAAUGCAGGAGACCCGGGUUUGAUCCCUGG